GGCUCAGGACGAACGCUGGCGGCGUGCCUAACACAUGCAAGUCGAACGGGACCGGGGGCAACUCCGGUUCAGUGGCGAACGGGUGCGUAACACGUGAGGAACCUGACCAUCGGCGGGGGAUAGCCGGCCCAACGGCCGGGUAAUACCGCGUACGACCUUCGGGGGGCAUCCCCUGAAGGUGAAAGCAGCAAUGCACCGAUGGAGGGCCUCGCGGCCUAUCAGCUAGUUGGUGAGGUAACGGCUCACCAAGGCGACGACGGGUAGCUGGUCUGAGAGGAUGGCCAGCCACAUUGGGACUGAGACACGGCCCAGACUCCUACGGGAGGCAGCAGUGGGGAAUCUUGCGCAAUGGGCGAAAGCCUGACGCAGCGACGCCGCGUGUGGGAUGACGGCCUUCGGGUUGUAAACCACUGUCGGGAGGGACGAAGCUCUGACGGUACCUCCAAAGGAAGCACCGGCUAACUCUGUGCCAGCAGCCGCGGUAAUACAGAGGGUGCGAGCGUUGUCCGGAAUCACUGGGCGUAAAGGGCGCGUAGGCGGCCUGAUAAGUAGGGGGUGAAAUCCUGCGGCUUAACUGCAGGGCUGCCUCCUAGACUGUCGGGCUCGAGCACGGUAGAGGCAGAUGGAAUUCCCGGUGUAGCGGUGGAAUGCGUAGAGAUCGGGAAGAACAUCGGUGGCGAAGGCGGUCUGCUGGGCCGUUGCUGACGCUGAGGCGCGACAACGUGGGGAGCAAACAGGAUUAGAUACCCUGGUAGUCCACGCCGUAAACGAUGGACACUAGGCGUCGGGGGGAGCGACCCUCCCGGUGCCGUCGCUAACGCAGUAAGUGUCCCGCCUGGG
rnacentral:rRNA from 1 species